AGUACGUGAAACUGCUUAGAGGUUAAGCCUGAUGAACCUGAAUAUUUUUAAUGGAAAAUUCAUCGCUAUUAUUAUAAUAUAUAUAAAAUAUUAUAAAAAUGGUGUGCAUUUUUUUCAUAAAGAACAUUGUAAUCGGUUAGUAAAUUAAAAUUUUAUCAAAAAAUUCGUUAAAAAGAGUUUAUUCUAAUUAGAUUAAUUUAUUAGUCUAAAAUUGAAUAAAUUUUAUGAAUUUGAUAAAUUAUUGACCGAUUUAUUUGUAAUAAUGUAAUAAUUUUCUUCGGAAAUUUUACAAUAUAUAUUUAUAUAUUCUUUGAAUAUAUUUCUAUUUAUUGUAUACAUUUUUACGAUUUACAAUGCUAUAAAUUCAGGAUACCUUCGGGACCCGUCUUGAAACACGGACCAAGGAGUCUAACAUAUGUGCAAGUCGUUGAGUAUUUUAUAUAAAACUUAAAGGCAUAAUUAACUUAACUGUUUUAAUGGGAUUAGUUUUUUAUGUUUUUUUUUUCUAAAAAAAUGUUUAAAAUUCAAUCCCAGGGCGUUCUAUAUAGUUAUGCAUAAUGAUAUUUAUAUUAUUUAUGUCUCUAACUA
rnacentral:rRNA from 1 species